AUGUGUGUUGGUCCUGACAUGGCAUUGGUGGCUUACUGAGAAGAAGAUGAUGGACUACGGAAUAUGGAUUCGAGUCAUUGCACGGCUUAACCUGCGGGCUCCAUUGUUUUAACUUGUUGAUGAAAGUACUGAAGAAAAGUCCCGACUUUAAGACCAGCCUCGAGAAUCUACAAAGCCACAAUUUGCAGCGUAGGGUUUCGC
rnacentral:lncRNA from 1 species